rfam:Oryza nivara chromosome 4, whole genome shotgun sequence.
AAAAAGAGACAAAUCUGGUUUCCGUGUUUAAUAUUUAAUCAUCCGUCUUAUUUAAAAAAAUUAUAUAAAAAAUUAAAAAGACAAGUCACGCACAAAGUAUUAAUCAUGUUUUAUCAUCUAACAACAAUAAAAUUAUGAAUUAUAAAAAAAAUUCAUAUAAGACAGACAGUCAAAAUUAGACACGGAAAUUUAAGGUUUGUCUUUUU